UAAUACGAAGGGGGCUAGCGUUGCUCGGAAUCACUGGCGUAAAGCGCACGUAGGCGGGUCCUUAAGUCGGGGGUGAAAUCCUGGAGCUCAACUCCAGAACUGCCUUCGAUACUGAGGAUCUCGAGUCCGGGAGAGGUGAGUGGAACUCCGAGUGUAGAGGUGAAAUUCGUAGAUAUUCGGAAGAACACCAGUGGCGAAGGCGGCUCACUGGCCCGGUACUGACGCUGAGGUGCGAAAGCGUGGGGAGCAAACAG
rnacentral:rRNA from 1 species